rnacentral:lncRNA from 1 species
UGAGGUCAUGGGUAGAUGAGAGUUUGAGCGGGACACUGUUCAACUCAGUACAGGGGGCAAGAAACAGGGGUUCAGGCAGGUAAUCCUCUGACACUCAACGUGACCCUGGGACCUGUGCGUGGGGACUGGAGUCAGAAACAUCGUUUUAGGGCUUCUCAUCGCUCCCAUCCUUUAAUCUAAGACUUAGCAGGUGAGGGAUGAUGUUCCCAGGAAGCUGAUCCGUUUGGACAGAACAGAGGGACCUGAGACUAAGCCAUCAUGAUGCUCCUUAGUGAACUCUGGGGCAGUCACCGAGCAUCGGCAAAGGCAGAGGUGGAAGCGUGUUUUAGGGGCAGUGCACAGAAGAGACCCCAGUGAAAGGAGUCGGCUUCACAACCCUGCUGCUCUGCUCUCUCUAAUUAGCUGGGUGACCAUGGGCAAAUCACUUAAUCUUCCCGAGACCUGGAUUCAUCAUCUGCAAAAUGUGGGCAGCGACACCAGCUGCUCUCCCGGCCCCAAGUCACGGUGCUCGUGUGAGGCAAAAGGCAAAAUCAGCUGAAUUUUACUAUGAAGAAUACCAGUACUUCCCUGACCUGAUGAAGAAUUUACUGUUUUUCAUUCUUUUUUUCUUUACUGAGGUUGCCACCCAGACCUGCUGGAGGAGACUCUGAGCCUCCCUGGAGAGUUUGCACUUGUGCUGUGUGCAGUGACCAGUGAAAUCUCAAUUAGCUGCUGAGGCUUUGGGAGGCAGAUGGCCUGUGGAUCAUCCAUCUCAGGAGAUCCAGGUCAUCCUGAGUGACCCUGAAUGCUGUGGUCUGGAGGGAGGGUGGUGCCUCCUUCUUCAACCUGGAUUCAGAAGGGAUACCAAAGAGCUCCUGCAGUCUCUCUGGAGGCUGUGGUUUGACUGUCUGUCCCUGUCUCCAACUGUACCACCCACAGGGAAAACCUUGUUCCUUUGUCCACUCAUGUGGCACACACCAGGGUCAUGAUUGUGGGGCUAGGACCCACACAGACACCAGAAUGAAGCAUGGUCCCCUCCCUCACAGGACCUCAGGCUUCUCAGAGCUAGAUGUGGGGACCCACGUGGGA